UACGUAGGGUGCGAGCGUUAAUCGGAAUUACUGGGCGUAAAGCGUGCGCAGGCGGUGAUGUAAGACCGAUGUGAAAUCCCCGGGCUUAACCUGGGAACUGCAUUGGUGACUGCAUCGCUCGAGUAUGGCAGAGGGGGGUAGAAUUCCACGUGUAGCAGUGAAAUGCGUAGAGAUGUGGAGGAACACCGAUGGCGAAGGCAGCCCCCUGGGCUGACACUGACGCUCAGGCACGAAAGCGUGGGGAGCAAACAGG
rnacentral:rRNA from 1 species